ensembl:lncRNA
CUGAUCACAGCAGUGGACCAUAUCCCUGUGAUAGCUGCUGUUGUUGGAGUGGCAGUCUGUGGAGUUGUGGGUCUCCUCUGUGUCAUAUACUGGCUGAGAUUACAUAAGGGGACCACCAGCAGGGGACCACAGAGAGGAGACACAGAGGGUCAGGAUGAUGUUCAGUACUCAAAUGUUAACUUCCAGAGGUCUGGUCAGAGCAGAGCUGCUGGUCCCUCCACUGCUGAGACUGCAGAGGAUGAUGUUCAGUACUCCACCAUCCAGCCCCACGGCUCCAGAGAGACUGCAGGAGCUCAGGGGGACGACGUCCACUACGCCAGCGUCCACUUCAAGAAAGAUGCUGCUGCAAAAAGAUCAUCUGCUUUGCUCAUGUGUUCCUGCAGUUCCCCUGACCAGCCAGAGGGGGAGCCCUCUGUGAUCUACAGCAGUGUUCAGAAGAGAGUGUGAAGAAAACAAUAUGAAGAGCCAGCCAUGAGCAAACACAGUGAAGGGGAUGCCAUCAGAUCUUUAUCUUAUGCAGUGCUGAAUCUGUAGUCCUAUAGUUCAGAUCUUUAU